rnacentral:rRNA from 1 species
GUCCAUGCCGUAAACGUUGGGCACUAGGUGUGGGGCUCAUUCCACGAGUUCCGUGCCGCAGCAAACGCAUUAAGUGCCCCGCCUGGGGAGUACGGCCGCAAGGCUAAAACUCAAAGAAAUUGACGGGGCCCGGCCACAAGCGGCGGAGCAUGCGGAUUAAUUCGAUGCAACGCGAAGAACCUUACCAAGGCUUGACAUACACCGGAAAAGUGCAGAGAUGUGCUCCCCGCAAGGUCGGUGUACAGGUGGUGCAUGGUUGUCGU